rnacentral:rRNA from 1 species
UACGGGGGGGGCAAGCGUUGUUCGGAAUUACUGGGCGUAAAGGGCUCGUAGGCGGCCAACUAAGUCGGAUGUGAAAUCCCCAGGCUCAACUUGGGAACUGCAUCCGAUACUGGAUGGCUUGAAUCCGGGAGAGGGAUGCAGAAUUCCAGGUGUAGCGGUGAAAUGCGUAGAUAUCUGGAGGAACACCGGUGGCGAAGGCGGCAUCCUGGACCGACACUGACACUGAGGAGCGAAAGCCAGGGGAGCAAACGGG